rnacentral:snoRNA from 1 species
AAGACUAUACUUGCAGGUAUCAUUUCUAUAGUUCUGACUUGAGAAAUGUGUUUCCAAAUGCUCUGGUCUCGCUAUCCACGAUGAUGAAAUGUGAUA